UACGUAGGGGGCGAGCGUUGUCCGGAUUCAUUGGGCGUAAAGAGCUCGUAGGCGGCUCGGUAAGUCGUUUGUGAAAUCUCCAGGCUCAACUUGGAGCGUGCAAGCGAUACUGCUGUGGCUUGAGUCCGGUAGGGGACCACGGAAUUCCUGGUGUAGCGGUGAAAUGCGCAGAUAUCAGGAGGAACACCGGUGGCGAAGGCGGUGGUCUGGGCCGGUACUGACGCUGAGGAGCGAAAGCGUGGGGAGCGAACAGG
rnacentral:rRNA from 1 species